AUUAUUGCGCUCGGGGCAAUGGCGAAGUUAGUAAGGUUCUAACCGAGGCGCGCCAAUUGCUGGUUGAAAACUAUUUCCAAACCUUU